UUACUUUUUACUUACAAAGCUUAUUCAAUAUUCAGUCAGAUCAGAGAUCAAAUUCAAAGUAAUGAAGUAGGCCUAUUAACUUAAUUAAGUAAAGUAAAGUUGUAAGUUGUUGACUGCUGUAGUGAACAAGUGAACGGUUAUUUAAUUUCAUAGUUAUUUUUGUUUUAACUGCUGCAAUGGGUAAAAUUUAGAAUGGAGCAAGCUAUCAUAGAUCUUGAGGAACAAUUUCUCAAUACUGUGAAGAGACUUGAUGACAUCGAAUGGAAAGUAGAAAGCACUCAGACGUAUAAAAAUAACAAUUGUGAAUCUAUAGUGAAACUUAUAACGGAGAGCAAAAGUUUAAGCAACAAUUUUGAUAGUAUUUCAAGCGAACUGGCAGAAUUGGACCCUAACCUGGAUGACAUAAGGUCCAAACUGAGAAAUGCUUAUCAAUACCAUGCAAUAAACUUCGAUUCUUUGAACAGAAACGUGCAAGCCUUCCAGAGUUCGUCACCAUCAACUGGAUGUAACAAAAAUUAAGAAUCAAUGGAUAAAACAAGCUCUACCUACUUUAUAGGCCCUAUUAAGCCGUUUGUCAAAGCGUCUGAUGAACUAAAAAGCAGUUCAGAAAAUACUGAUUCUAAUCCAACACCUAGACCUGUGUUUGUUUCUGGUAGUCAUGUCAAACAGUUUUAUGAAAAGGUGAUCGGAAAAGUUUCCAAUACUAAGCGAGUAGAAAAAAGGGAAACAGCUGAUGAUUGCAAGAAACAGAAAACUGUAGUCAAAGUGACAUUUAAUAUUAAUACACUUAUGAAGGCCGUUGAAGGCGGAAAUUUGAAGGAUGUUGAAAAAAUAUUAGAUGGAAAUGAAGAUAAGAUCAACACGACGGAUCAGUUUGGUUGGACUCCGCUGAUGUCAGCAUGUUGUACUGGGAAUAUAGACAUGGUGGAGCUGCUACUAAGAUGGUGUCCGCGACUUGAUCUUCGAGACAAAAAAGGCAACACUUGUCGUCAACUAGCUUCUAGUAGAGGUCACACUCAUGUCUUGACUAUUCUGGACAAAUAUACUCUACAGUCCAAAAACACUACCGUAGAAGAGUCUACCUGUUCGGAACAAUCACGAAUCACCCCGUUUUACUGCAAGAGGUGUAAAUUAAGUUUCGAGGAUACAUCGUUAAAGCAACAUCUUUCUUCCACUGUUCACAAUUUCAACGCUGCAUCGAAGAAAAAGAUACCUACAAUGUACGGAAUUCCUGAAAGCAACAAAGGAUUUCAAAUCCUACUCAGGUCAGGAUGGGACAAAGAAACCGGGCUAGGUCCGAGCGGCGAAGGCAAUAAAUUUCCCCCGAAAACCAUUUUGAAACAAGACCGGACGGGGUUGGGAGCUAAACAGUACAAACCAAGAGUAACACAUAAUGUGGAGGAUGCACGGAGGAAUGCAAAACCCAAAGAUACAUUCAAAAGAAAGCUACAGUCGCAAAAAAGAAAGGACCAAAGACUGGAAAGGAAUUUAAGACAAAUGUUGUCAUAGCAUUGGGUCCAAAUAGUCGAUGUUGGGUGUAAAUAAUGUAAAUAUAUAAAUUAGUGAGCAUAAUCUGAAAUGGAAAAUCCUAAAUUAACCUUGAAACAACUGCAUGCUGCAGAGCUCCAAGCUGACUCUAUUUUGCGAGACAGAGCUGAGAUUGUCGACCUCGACCGCAGACGCAACAGUAACCGAG